AUUGAACGCUGGCGGCAUGCUUUGCACAUGCAAGUCGAACGGUAACAGGCCGCAAGGUGCUGACGAGUGGCGAACGGGUGAGUAAUGCAUCGGAACGUGCCCAGUCGUGGGGGACAACGCAGCGAAAGCUGCGCUAAUACCGAAUACGAUCUCUGGAUGAAAGCGGGGGACCGAAAGGCCUCGCGCGAUUGGAGCGGCCGAUGUCAGAUUAGGUAGUUGGUGGGGUAAAGGCCCACCAAGCCAACGAUCUGUAGCUGGUCUGAGAGGACGACCAGCCACACUGGGACUGAGACACGGCCCAGACUCCUACGGGAGGCAGCAGUGGGGAAUUUUGGACAAUGGGCGCAAGCCUGAUCCAGCAAUGCCGCGUGCAGGAAGAAGGCCUUCGGGUUGUAAACUGCUUUUGUACGGAACGAAACGGUCCGGGUUAAUACCCUGGGCUAAUGACGGUACCGUAAGAAUAAGCACCGGCUAACUACGUGCCAGCAGCCGCCGUAAUAC
rnacentral:rRNA from 1 species